rnacentral:tmRNA from 1 species
GGGGCUGAUUCUGGAUUCGACAGGUUGCGAGCAAGGUGCAUGCCGAGGGGCGGUUGGCCUCGUAAAGCCGCAAAAAUAGUCGCAAACGACGAAACCUACGCUUUAGCAGCAAUAACCUGCUUAGAGCCCUCUCUCCUAGCCUCCGCUCUUAGGACGAGGAUCAGAGAAGGGUCAAACCAAAAGAAGAUCGCGCGGAUGCCCUGCACGGGGUUGAAGCGUUAAAACGAAUCGGAAGGCUAGUCUGGUAAUUGGCGUGUCCGUCCCGCCGCGGGCGAAUGUAAAGACUGACUAAGCAUGUAGUACCGAGGAUGUAGGAAUUUCGGACGCGGGUUCAACUCCGCCAACUCCACCA